AAGCAGACGUUAAUUUACUAACAGCAGGCGAACUUCAGACUGUUAAUAAGAUUCUCGAAAAAGCCAUUGACGACAUCGAAUUGAAUACUGAUACAACCGAGAACGACACUGACAGUUUCUUUGACGUUGUGAAUGAUUUACUGGAUGGAAAUCUGACAUCGUCAUGGAAAAGUUUGAUAAAUGAAAAUGGAGUUGGUGCCGACUCCGUAAUAACAACCAUUGACCGGUUUAUUUCGAAAGUUGUGAACUCGUCUGA